GACGAACGCUGGCGGCGUGCCUAAUACAUGCAAGUAGAACGCUGAAGGAGGAGGUUGCUUCUCUUGAUGAGUGCCGAAAGCGGGAGUAUCGCGUAUGUAACCUGCCCUGUAGCGGGGGGGAACAAUUGGAAACGAUAAUUAAUAUAACACAAUAGUAGAUGUCGCAUAACAUUUACGUAAAAAGUGCAAUUUCAUCACUCCCAGAGAUACCUGCGUUUGAUUAGCUAUUUGGUGAGGUAACGGCUCACCAAGGCAACGAUACAUAGCCGACCUGAGAGGGUGAUCGGCCACACUGGGACUGAGACACGGCCCAGACUCCUACGGGAGGCAGCAGUAGGGAAUCUUCGGCAAUGGACGGAAGUCUGACCGAGCAACGCCGCGUGAGUGAAGAAGGUUUUCGGAUCGUAAAGCUCUGUUGUAAGAGAAGAACGAGGGUGAGAGUGGAAAGCUCACCAUGUGACGGUAUCUUACCAGAAAGGGACGGCUAACUACGUG
rnacentral:rRNA from 1 species